rnacentral:lncRNA from 1 species
GGAUGAGGGACGGUGUCCCCACCCCAUGAUCUGCGUGCGGCGGCAGGACACCCUUCGCCUCUUCGCUUCUCUCUCGCCCCUCUCAGCUGCGCGCGCUCCGGGGCUGCCGGCGGGGCUCGGCCCUUGGGGGCGGGGUGGGGGCACGGCGGCCGGGAGUGUUUUUCAGUUCCGCCUCCAAUCGCCCAGUACCCUUUUCCCUUCGCAGCCUCCUCCAAUCCCAUCGGAAGAGGAAGGAACAAAAGGUCCCGGGCCCCCCGGAUCUGACGGGGCGGGACCUGGCGCCUGGGUGCAGGAGAUGCACUUAAAACCUACCAUGCCCAUGAUUCUGGAUUCUGUCUCCAGUGCUGUAAACCAAACCAACCAGACAAAUAAUGAAACAAAGUAAAACAAGAACCCAGAAAGGCUCAGAGAAAAAUGGUAGGAAAAGAAGUACCGUUGAAAUGGUGACUAAAAGAAAGAAGCUAUAAUUAUAGUAAUUGGACAAAGACUGUAAUAGAAGUAAAGUAGAAAAAGAGUUACAUUUUGUAAUAUAAAGGAAUUGAUCUUCCGGACUUGCCAUAGUUCUAGAUCUAUACCAAGUAACAUACUUUGAACAACUAUUCAAACUUUUUGGUUUUGCACUGAAAAGAGAAAGACCAGUAUGCAGUGACAUACUUGUGAGAACUUUUAGUGUUUCUCAAAAGUUGAUAAACUGAGCAGUGUAUAGAAGAUAUGUAUAUUAAAGUUAAGACUUAAUUGAAUUGUCAUACAGUAAAUAUUGAAACAGUUAAUGAUGGAA